AGACACUGUUCUGGAUAAGCAGCUGUUGUGUUACUUUGCUUCAGUGAUUUUUAUCAUUUAAACUUAAGAUCUAGGCUGUAUCUGUCAACAGUCUGUGACUUCCCAAAGGCUUUGUGCAGUCCUGCUGCUGCUCAUAGACUUGGAACCAUUUCAGAGCAGGUGAGGUGCAAUUACUGUGGAUGGUUUCUACUCUGGUGUACUAGAGGUGGUUGCUGUUUACAGUUGCAGUUCGAAGGAAAUCUUGCUCCUGCAGAUUUCAGGACUGUCAGGAAGGAUGAGGAGGCAGUCAUUGACAAAAUCAGUUAUAUUCAGAAGGCAACCAUGCCAGAAGGUGUCAACCACACUGGAACGCAGAAGUUUCGAGGCAGGCCUGGCUGCUUUGUUCCUAUGGAAACAGAGGACUG
ensembl:lncRNA